ensembl:lncRNA
CUGAAAUGAGAGAGCCUCACGAGCGCAGCGUUCCGAGCGACGUGGCGACUCAGAUUCCUCAUUUUAUAAAUCGUACAGUCCAGGGAUGAAGAGUCCACGCGCGCACAGAGCAGGGCUUUAAGUUUGCUGCAUCUGACGAGUGUCAGUGUGUUCGGUUGUGAGCGCUUUUUGGUGUCUGGAGCUACACAGCUGAUGCAGGUCUGAGAAGUGAAGCCGCUGGAUUUGCUACUGACUUGUACUCUUAAUGACUUUGGAGAGAGCAAGCAGGGUGUGUGUGUGUGUGUGUGUGUGUGUGUGUGUGUGUAUGUAUCUGCUGUACUUUGACUCUGUGAGCAGGUCCAUGGGUCACUGCAGUGUGAAGCUGUGAUUUCUAGUGUCAUGAUGUGGCAACGUGUGUUCACUCUGAGACACAGAACAGGAAUCUCUGCUGAACUUGUGACAGGUUACUGUGGCUGGCUUUAACACUGAGCUAAUAAUGGAGCCCAGAGGGCAGAACUGGAAUGAACAGUGGCCACAGAACCAGCGAUCAGAUCACAGAGUCAGAGAUGAGCAGUACAGGUCUCAUCACACAGGAAAACAAGGCCAUUACCCUCCUGCAGAUGUAAGGGACAGCGAGAGACGGUGGUAUGCAACAGAUCCGCGCUACAUGUACUACAUGAGUGGUCCUCCUGCAGAGUUUAGCACGGCAUACCGCAGCCAAACCUACACACCUGACCGAGCUCAAUCACACUCCAGGCAGGGAUAUGAUUAUCCUCCCCAGAGUUACUGGGACUACAGGAAUGACUACAGCUACUAUGAUCAUGGCUACUACAGAGGCCAUUAUGGAUACCCAGCAGCCUCAGAUACCAGUGGAAGGCCGGUGCAGGGAUGGAGGACAGAGGGGCAUCAGGAGUGGUCAGGAGCCACAUACACCCAUCAGCAUGGGUAUGAGCUCAGAAGAGACAGUGGACAGUAUGAAGGUGGUGUUCCUGUGAGAGAAUGCGUGGAAACCAGGAAUGAAGCCAGAGAGGUGUCUGAACUUGGAUGCUUAGAAAGUUCUAAAACCUCUGGCCUGUCAUCCAGCACCUACGAACUCAGCCAGUACAUCAAUGGAGACGAGCAGAGCAAUGCUCCACCUCCAGCUCACUCAGGUAGAUGUGGGCAGAGUAAACAUACAUACAGUAAACAUCAUAUCAUCAUUUCUGCCUGUAGAUCAACAGAACAGACUUUGGUUUCUGAUUAUCACAGCACACAUGCUCGUCCUUUUUUAUUCAAGAUAAUUUAGAAUCCAAUUGCUGCACAUAGCUGAGCAGCUGAAGGUUGAGUUCCUUGCUUAAAGGAAUAGUCCA